GCCCAUUUAUUUGGUAUUUCUUUAGUGGGUUACGUGCUUUUGUUCGCUCUAGAAGUAUCUUACUGUGAUCUCGUAGCAUAAUUCACUAAUGUAAGAGCAAGAGCAGCUGCACUCCUAGUAGGGCAAGUUAACUACCUCGAUCGCGCCCCGUCUUACAUCGGGCGUGAUGCGCCUGCAUAGUUACGCUUUUCUCAGCGCUUGAACGUUCAUAGAUGUGCUUCUUUUGUGCGUUCAGCGCGGCUUCUUGUAAUACGGUCGCUCGCACUUAAGUAAAAUGUGGUCGACCACUCUUGCAUCGCGUAGAAAAAGGACGACUGACUUUGCCACCUUUCGAAAGAACUAGCGCGGUAUUGGUUCUCCCUGAUGCGGUCGCGUGCUGCUGUUGCUGCUUGCCGGGCGCCUUUAGCAUGUUUUCGGCUCGCUUUGUCUGUGCGUGUGUGCGCGCUCGCGCUCGGCUCGGUUCGUGUGUGUGUGUGCGCUCAGCUCAGCUCGCUUUGUGUGUGUGUGUGUGUGUGUGUGUGUGUGUGUGUGUGUGCGUGCGUGCGUCUUGCGCGCGCAUACAUGCCGGUUUGUAUGGGCCGGCGUGCUUGCGUGUGUCUAGUGCGUACGUGUUUUGUGAGCGUGUUUCUGUGUGGGUCACUGUGUGUGCGUGCACGUGUUAGCGUGUCUGCCUGCAUGUAUGUGUGCUUGUUUGUGUUGUGUUUAUCAAUGUGGGCGUGCGUGCUUUUGUGUCUGCGCUUUGAGAGUGCGUAUAUUUGUGUGCGCGCGAGUGCGUUUUGUGUGCCUGCGUAUGUAUUGCAUAAGGCCGGUAGAGUUUUACUCGCAAUAAAACUCUUCCAAUUUGGUGCAGCGAGUGUUGCCGCCUGAAAGCCGAGUUUGGUUUCAAGCCAACCUGGACAACUGCUGUAUGAGGCGCUGUUUCUCAGGAGGAUCAGUGGGAAGGCGUCAGGUCAUGCAGAUGAUAGCAUCAAUUUCACAAUGCCCAGCCUUGGUGCCCUCCAUCAAGAGCAAGCCACUUGCGUUCGUCUUCAGGCAGAUGGUUGAUGUCUUCUAGGAAGCAGUUGGGAAGACUACAUUAAAUGCAAGAUUCCAGCAAUGCCAUGUGCUGCAUUUAUUGGUCAAGAUGCUCAGAGAAUGGAGUCCCUGCACCUCGUGGUGAAACGUGAACAUUUUUUUUCUUUUGGAAAGCUAAACGUCAUUUGCUGUAUCAAUUGCAUUCUUGCAGCUCAGAUGUGUACUGUAUUUUUUCUAAUUUUGAAUCAAUUAAUAUUCACUGUUCAGUAUAAAAAUGACGUACAGUGUGAAGGACAAGGACUGCGAGAGAUGACAUGCACUGCGCUGACUUCCAACAAUGUUUUAUUGCGUUGCCACAUCGUGUGUUUAUACACAAGAAGGGUCAUGCGCAGAAAAUGAAAGGCAGUCACAAGGGGUGUUCUAACAGCAAGUCAUUGUACUAAGAACAUGGUCACUUAAAAAAAAAUCACGAUUUCUAUCUGUGGAGAUACAAGACUUCACUAGGAGUCAGCGUAAUAGAGGGGGCACUAACGCACACACUACCCAUUUUUCUGGUGAAAUAAGCUUCAAUAAUGUACCGGGUGAGCUGUGUCUCGCUAGAACUUGUGUAUCUUCAAAGAGGGGCAUGCAGCGGCAGUCCCGGCAAUGAAUGCCCAAGUGGCCUUGAACAGUGUUAUGGACGUUAUAGUGCACUCUUAAACGAUCAUUUAGACACCUGCCUAUCCGUCCAACAUAUUUACUGCCUCAAAACGGGAAUAUGGUAAACCACAUUCGUUACACAUAUCGCAAAACGUUUUCUGUGCCCGACAGAGCAAGAACUCUGACACGAUUUAGGCGCGUUUACACGCUUACAGAGCUUUGCCAGCUUUUCCGGUGCUGAGAAAAGGACUGGGAUUCCUGGAGGUUGCCAAAUCUUUUUUUAGCCUAUCGGAGACAUCUUGCACAUACGGUAGUACUGCGAACCAGGUUUCAACCGGCUGGUUCCUCGACUGAGUGCGCUCAUCACGUUUUGUGCCCUUCAGAAGCUGUUCCGCUAUGGCUGAAAUUAAGGCCAAAGGGUA